GGGUGUGACUGCGUACCUUUUGUAUAAUGGGUCAGCGACUUAUAUUCUGUAGCAAGGUUAACCGUAUAGGGGAGCCGCAGGGAAACCGAGUCUUAACUGGGCGUUAAGUUGCAGGGUAUAGACCCGAAACCCGGUGAUCUAGCCAUGGGCAGGUUGAAGGUUGGGUAACACUAACUGGAGGACCGAACCGACUAAUGUUGAAAAAUUAGCGGAUGACUUGUGGCUGGGGGUGAAAGGCCAAUCAAACCGGGAGAUAGCUGGUUCUCCCCGAAAGCUAUUUAGGUAGCGCCUCGUGAA
rnacentral:rRNA from 2 species